rnacentral:rRNA from 1 species
AACGAACGCUGGCGGCAUGCCUAACACAUGCAAGUCGAACGAGAUCUUCGGGUCUAGUGGCGCACGGGUGCGUAACGCGUGGGAAUCUGCCCUUUGGUUCGGAAUAACAGUUGGAAACGACUGCUAAUACCGGAUGAUGACGAAAGUCCAAAGAUUUAUCGCCAGAGGAUGAGCCCGCGUAGGAUUAGCUAGUUGGUGUGGUAAAGGCGCACCAAGGCGACGAUCCUUAGCUGGUCUGAGAGGAUGAUCAGCCACACUGGGACUGAGACACGGCCCAGACUCCUACAGGAGGCAGCAGUGGGGAAUAUUGGACAAUGGGCGAAUGCCUGAUCCAGCAAUGCCGCGUGAGCGAUGAAGGCCUUAGGGUUGUAAAGCUCUUUUACCCGGGAUGAUAAUGACAGUACCGGGAGAAUAAGCUCCGGCUAACUCCGUGCCAGCCGCCGCCGUAA